rfam:Biomphalaria glabrata isolate BB02 linkage group LG29 unlocalized genomic scaffold LG29_random_Scaffold895, whole genome shotgun sequence.
UGGCUGAGUGGUAAAGCGAUUGGCUUCCAAACAGGAUGUCCCGGGUUCGAAUCCUGG